rnacentral:rRNA from 1 species
UACGUAGGGUGCGAGCGUUAUCCGGAUUUAUUGGGCGUAAAGCGCGUGCAGGCGGUCUAUCAAGUUGGAUGUGAAAGCUCCUGGCUUAACUGGGAGAGGUCGUUCAAAACUGAUAGACUAGAGAAUGGUAGAGGGAGGUGGAAUUCCGGGUGUAGUGGUGAAAUGCGUAGAUAUCCGGAGGAACACCAGUGGCGAAAGCGGCCUCCUGGGCCAUUUCUGACGCUAAGACGCGAAAGCUAGGGUAGCAAACGGG